rnacentral:rRNA from 1 species
AUGAAGUUUUCGGAUGGAUUUAAAGCAGCUUAGUGGCGGACGGGUGAGUAACGCGUGGGUAACCUGCCUCACACUGGGGGAUAACAGUUAGAAAUAGCUGCUAAUACCGCAUAAGCCCACGGUGCUGCAUGGAACAGUGUGAAAAACUCCGGUGGUAUGAGAUGGACCCGCGUCUGAUUAGGUAGUUGGUGAGGUAACGGCCCACCAAGCCGACGAUCGGUAGCCGACCUGAGAGGGUGAUCGGCCACAUUGGGACUGAGACACGGCCCAAACUCC